rnacentral:rRNA from 1 species
UACGUAGGGUGCAAGCGUUGUCCGGAAUUAUUGGGCGUAAAGAGCUCGUAGGCGGUCAGUCGCGUCUGCUGUGAAAACUCCGGGGCUUAACUCCGGGCCUGCAGUGGUACGGGCUGACUAGAGUGCGGUAGGGGAGGACUGGGAAUUCCUGGUGUAGCGGUGAAAUGACGCAGAUAAUCAGGAGGAACACCGGUGGCGAA